UACGGAGGAUGCAAGCGUUAUCCGGAAUGAUUGGGCGUAAAGCGUCUGUAGGUGGCUUAAAAAGUCUCCUGUCAAAGAUCAGGGCUUAACCCUGGGCCGGCAGGAGAAACUCUUAGGCUAGAGUUUGGUAGGGGCAGAGGGAAUUCCCGGUGGAGCGGUGAAAUGCGUAGAGAUCAGGAGGAACACCAAAGGCGAAAGCACUCUGCUGGGCCACAACUGACACUGAGAGACGAAAGCGAGGGGAGCAAAAGGG
rnacentral:rRNA from 1 species